GUGAAUUACUUACAUAACUAUCCAUUGAAAUAGACCUUCAAUUGUUAUUGAAAUAAAUAUAAGACAAUUCACAUCGAGCUGCUAAGCUGUCCAGACAUAUUUACAUUGCUAAUCUGAAUCUUAACGUCAGGGUUAGUAGCAACGCGGUCAUGCCACCUGCGGAGGCAGGGUAUGAUCCACUGCUGCAGUAAAUAAAUCCAAGCCAGGAGCUUGGAAGAUGGUAGACACAUAUUUCUGAGCACAGAAGUUUUGGAACUAACGUCACCAAUGUUGAAUCUAACUAAAGUCACUACAAUCGAAAAUACUCAGAACAAUAGUCAACUCCAUAGUAUGUUAGAAACGAGGAUAUACGCAAAGACCUACAAAUACCAAUGGUCAAAGAAGAAAUCGGCAGAUACGCAAAAAAAUA